rnacentral:rRNA from 1 species
UACAGAGACCACAAGCGUUACUCGGAUUCACUGGGCGUAAAGGGUGCGUAGGCGGUUAGGUGUGUCAGGUGUGAAAUUUCAGGGCUCAACUCUGAAGCUGCGCUUGAAACUACCUAGCUAGAGUUUUGGAGGGGUAAGCGGGAAUUUCUGGUGUAGCGGUGAAAUGCAUAGAUAUCAGAAGGAACACCAAUGGCGAAGGCAAGGCAUUACCUUGGACAAAAAC